rnacentral:tRNA from 1 species
GGCCCCGUAGCUCAACUGGCAGAGCAGUUGACUCUUAAUCAAUUGGUUGAAGGUUCGAGUCCUUCCGGGGUCA